rnacentral:rRNA from 1 species
UUGUCCGGAAAGAAAUCCCCUGCCCUAAUACGGCGGGGGGAUGACGGUNCCGGAAGAAUAAGCACCGGCUAACUACGUGCCAGCAGCCNCGGUAAUGCGUAGGGUUCGAGCGUUAAUCGGAAUUACUGGGCGUAAAGCGUGCGCAGGCGGUGCUGUAAGACCGAUGUGAAAUCCCCGGGCUUAACNUGGGAACUGCAUUGGUGACUGCAGCGCUNGAGUAUGGCAGAGGGGGGUGGAAUUCCACGUGUAGCAGUGAAAUGCGUAGAGAUGUGGAGGAACACCGAUGGCGAAGGCAGCCCCCUGGGCCAAUACUGACGCUCAUGCACGAAAGCGUGGGGAGCAAACAGGAUUAGAUACCCUGGUAGUCCACGCCCUAAACGAUGUCAACUGGUUGUCGGGCCUUCAUUGGCUUGGUAACGAAGCUAACGCGUGAAGUUGACCGCCUGGGGAGUACGGUCGCAAGAUUA